rnacentral:misc_RNA from 1 species
UUUCCGUAGGUGAACCUGCGGAAGGAUCAUUAUUGUAUAACCGAGGUGCGAGGGCUGUCGCUGACCCGAAAGGUCGUGCACGCCCGAGUGCCCUCACACACAUCCAUCUCACCCCUAUGUGCACCACCGCGUGGGUCCCCCUUUGGCUUGUUCGGAGGUGGGCUUACGUUUUCACACAAACUUUGUAUGCAGUGUAGAAUGUAUUUUUUGUUUUUGCGAUCACGCAAUCAAUACAACUUUCAACAACGGAUCUCUUGGCUCUC